CCUACGGGUGGCUGCAGUGGGGAAUAUUGCACAAUGGGCGCAAGCCUGAUGCAGCCAUGCCGCGUGUGUGAAGAAGGCCUUCGGGUUGUAAAGCACUUUCGGCGGGGAGGAAGGCGUUAAGGUUAAUAACCUUGGCGAUUGACGUUACCCGCAGAAGAAGCACCGGCUAACUCCGUGCCAGCAGCCGCGGUAAUACGGAGGGUGCAAGCGUUAAUCGGGAUUACUGGGCGUAAAGCGCACGCAGGCGGUCUGUCAAGUCGGAUGUGAAAUCCCCGGGCUCAACCUGGGAACUGCAUUCGAAACUGGCAGGCUAGAGUCUUGUAGAGGGGGGUAGAAUUCCAGGUGUAGCGGUGAAAUGCGUAGAGAUCUGGAGGAAUACCGGUGGCGAAGGCGGCCCCCUGGACAAAGACUGACGCUCAGGUGCGAAAGCGUGGGGAGCAAACAGGAUUAGAUACCCCAGUAGUC
rnacentral:rRNA from 1 species